rnacentral:rRNA from 1 species
AGCCUGAUGCAGCCAUGCCGCGUGUAUGAAGAAGGCCUUCGGGUUGUAAAGUACUUUCAGCAGUGAGGAAGGUGGGAACGUUAAUAGCGUUUUCAUUUGACGUUAGCUGCAGAAGAAGCACCGGCUAACUCCGUGCCAGCAGCCGCGGUAAUACGGAGGGUGCGAGCGUUAAUCGGAAUUACUGGGCGUAAAGCGCAUGCAGGUGGUUUGUUAAGUCAGAUGUGAAAGCCCGGGGCUCAACCUCGGAAUAGCAUUUGAAACUGGCAGACUAGAGUACUGUAGAGGGGGGUAGAAUUUCAGGUGUAGCGGUGAAAUGCGUAGAGAUCUGAAGGAAUACCGGUGGCGAAGGCGGCCCCCUGGACAGAUACUGACACUCAGAUGCGAAAGCGUGGGGAGCAAACAGGAUUAGAUACCCUGGUAGUCCACGCCGUAAACGAUGUCUACUUGGAGGUUGUGGCCUUGAGCCGUGGCUUUCGGAGCUAACGCGUUAAGUAGACCGCCUGGG